rnacentral:rRNA from 1 species
AAACGGUAGCUAAUACCGCAUAACGUCGCAAGACCAAAGAGGGGGACCUUCGGGCCUCUUGCCAUCGGAUGUGCCCAGAUGGGAUUAGCUAGUAGGUGGGGUAACGGCUCACCUAGGCGACGAUCCCUAGCUGGUCUGAGAGGAUGACCAGCCACACUGGAACUGAGACACGGUCCAGACUCCUACGGGAGGCAGCAGUGGGGAAUAUUGCACAAUGGGCGCAAGCCUGAUGCAGCCAUGCCGCGUGUAUGAAGAAGGCCUUCGGGUUGUAAAG